rnacentral:rRNA from 1 species
GAUGAACGCUGGCGGCGUGCUUAACACAUGCAAGUCGAACGGAAAGGCUCCUGCUUGCAGGGGUACUCGAGUGGCGAACGGGUGAGUAACACGUGGGUAAUCUGCCCUGCACUUCGGGAUAAGCCUGGGAAACUGGGUCUAAUACCGGAUAGGACGAUGGUUUGGAUGCCAUUGUGGAAAGUUUUUCGGUGUGGGAUGAGCUCGCGGCCUAUCAGCUUGUUGGUGGGGUAAUGGCCUACCAAGGCGUCGACGGGUAGCCGGCCUGAGAGGGUGUACGGCCACAUUGGGACUGAGAUACGGCCCAGACUCCUACGGGAGGCAGCAGUGGGGAAUAUUGCACAAUGGGCGCAAGCCUGAUGCAGCGACGCCGCGUGGGGGAUGACGGCCUUCGGGUUGUAAACUCCUUUCGCUAGGGACGAAGCGCAAGUGACGGUACCUGGAGAAGAAGCACCGGCUAACUACGUG